rnacentral:misc_RNA from 1 species
AUUAUGACAUCAGUGGCAAUACAUGGAAACAAAACAAAAUCUUUGUAGGAAAAACAACAAUAACGUAAAAUCCAAACAUCUAUGAGGCGAAAAUCGAAAAGCCUACUCAUCGUGCAACAAGAAGAAGGUGCAGGCGAAAAGGAUGAGCAUCGGCGAGAUUGAAAUGCAAGAUUGAGGGGCAAGGGAAUUCGUCCUUUUGUGAUGCGGCGAGCUUGAAAGAAAUGGGUGGUGAGGGGUGUCUUGAGUUGAAAGGUGAUGUCAGGGAGGGAAUCAGUGGUUUAAUGGGUUUUGUCGUUCACAAAUCCACGCACCAUGAAUCCAGAACCACGAGGCUUAAUGGGUUUGACUCAGCCUGGGGAUUGUAGAACCAGGUGUCUUCAACUUGGUUUUGCUGUUCGAAGAGACCACGACACCUUCUCGACGGAGCUUAGGUGUUGCAAUGAAGCUAUUGCUAGCUAUGCCUGCUUCAAUCACGGCAAUGACGAGGGAGGUGAGGUGAGUAGAGGUGCCAUGAAUGUAAAGGGAUGCGUGUGCUGGGA